rnacentral:lncRNA from 1 species
ACAAAAAACUUUUUUUUUUUAUAAUUCUUUAUUUGGUAUUUCUUCAUCUCAUACAAUAUCUAUAUGCAUUUUUUUUUAUAAAGAAGAAUACAAUACAAGUUUAUUCAUUUUGACCUGUCAGUGUCAGUGCUUAUAAACAUCCCCUUCCCUAUACCAAAUAAACCCCCAAAAAAACCCCAAAAAACAAAAAACAAAAAACUAAACUAAAAACAAAACAAAACAAAAGAACAAUACAAAAACAAAAAGUACAAAAAACAAACAAACAAAAAAUAAAUAAAAUAAAAUAAAUAUAAAAAAUCAUUGACUUAUAUUCAUAAAUGAUUAAAUUGGUAUUAAACGAUUAUAAUUAUUAUUUAUGCAAUCUAAUUAUUCUAUUCAUACAUGUACUCAUAUCAUAAUAUAUAUAGUGGCAUACUCUAACAAUAUCUGGAAAAGAUCCCAGUGAGCUAUUUCCAUAUGCAAAAUUUCUUUCCAUUUAUUUUGUGAUUUUGUGGGGUUUUUAUGAUAAGUA